rnacentral:rRNA from 1 species
AUUGAACGCUGGCGGAAUGCUUUACACAUGCAAGUCGAACGGCAGCACGGGGGCAACCCUGGUGGCGAGUGGCGAACGGGUGAGUAAUACAUCGGAACGUGCCCAGUCGUGGGGGAUAACGUAGCGAAAGUUACGCUAAUACCGCAUACGAUCUACGGAUGAAAGCGGGGGACCGUAAGGCCUCGCGCGAUUGGAGCGGCCGAUGUCAGAUUAGGUACUUGGUGAGGUAAAGGCUCACCAAGCCGACGAUCUGUAGCUGGUCUGAGAGGACGACCAGCCACACUGGGACUGAGACACGGCCCAGACUCCUACGGGAGGCAGCAGUGGGGAAUUUUGGACAAUGGGCGCAAGCCUGAUCCAGCCAUUCCGCGUGCAGGACGAAGGCCUUCGGGUUGUAAACUGCUUUUGUACGGAACGAAAAGGCUCUGGUUAAUACCUGGGGCCCAUGACGGUACCGUAAGAAUAAGCACCGGCUAACUACGUGCCAGCAGCCGCCGUAA